GUCCAGUAGCACCUUAGAGACCAACUAAGUUUGUUCUUGGUAUAAGCUGUUGUGUGCAUGCACACUUAUACCAAGCUAAUAAGCUUAUACAAAGAACAAACUUAGUUGGUCUCUAAGGUGCUACUGGGC